rnacentral:misc_RNA from 1 species
UAAUUUUUUUCCGCAAGCAACCGCAUUUAAUAACAAUUUGCGCUCGAACGUUCUCAAAGCUCCCGUUAAAUCCCAAAUGGAAAACUGGACAUUGGAAUUGAUUCCUGCGAGAGUAGGAGAGAAGCAAUUUACUUGGAUAAUUUCCGUGAAUAUUUUCUUCAAAAUUGAUUUGCCUGUUACUGUAUUUGAUGGUAAAAAAAUCUUCGAUUUACCCCCUUCAUAUGCCGACGCUCCUCUAAUUGUUUUCGUCAAGUUUGAUAAUAUGCCAUCCCUUGAGGAAACUUUUCUUCAGCUAAAUAGCUACAGGAAUUAUUUCAAUGCAGGAAAAUUUGUUAUUGUCAUACCUGGCCCUCCUGCCAAGAAAUUAUGCCAGUUCUUUAAGCAAUCACUUAUUUUAUAUGUAGUUUUUAUAGAGAUUUUCGAAAAUGGCUACUUGGGAAUUUAUAGCGGAGAAUGUAAUCGGAUGCAACCGAAUUUUCUAAUGUCGUUGAACGAGUAUUUAUUUGCUUCCACGAAAUCAAUUAGAGUGUGUUACUAUGAAAAAAGCCCUUAUACCAUCUUGCCCCAUUCAGAUAAAGGUAGGACUUGUUCUUAUAUUAACUGCAAUUGCUCAAAAUAAAAUAAAAUAAAAAGAUACGUAUAGGAUGAUUCACAAUUAGCUCCUUUUUUUAAAACACUAUUUUUUUAGGUAUUGAGCAAAGAGUAGUUGACCUGGUAGGCCGUUAUUUGAGAAUGUCCAUAGAGUACAUCAAAUGCAACAUAUCUUCUUUAUGCAACGAAAAUGUGCAUGGCUUCGAAAUUUGGGCAAUGCUCUACAAUCAUUCUUGUGAUGCUAUAAUAGGAGUCCUGCCUUGUCAGAAAAAUUUUCGAGAUUUUGAUGUUAGCGCCACAUACUUUUCAGAUGCUGUUGUAUUAAUUGCUCCAAAAAAUCAAUGCGUUCGUCGUGUCGGUUUUCUCAAAAUAAGCAUGCCUUUGAUUGUUUUUAUUUCAAGUACUUACGUAUUGGUCUCAUAUGUGGUUUGCAGCUUAUCGAAAUCAGUGAACCAAGAAACAACGCUGAUGUGGGCAGUAAAGUUGCAAGUAAAAUCCUCACUACUAUCAAUUUUUUUGUUAUCUGCUGUAGCGUUUAAUGGAUUUGUCCAGGGGCAGAUAUUUAAGACUUUAAUGUCCAGUAGAGAACAUUGCGGUGCGGAAAGCCUGGAAGAAUUAAUAACGCAAAAAGAACCAAUCUAUUUUGAAUGGCCAGUUCUUUCCGAUUUUGUCGAGAAACUUUCGAUAGACCGAAACCUGAAAGUUGAAUGGCAGCCAAAUAUGAACGAAUACCUACUUGACCCGAAGACAAAUCACAUUGUUAGGUUUUUGUCUUACAAAUAUAAUUUUCCUCAAGUACCCACUACAAAUAAUGAAGAAACAAUGUUUAGAGAAGUUGAGACUUUGUCAUUGAUCCACAUUGGCAUAUUUUUCUAUAAAAAACACUCUCUUAUUGCCAAUAUAUCAGAAGCUCUAUUAUUCGUUUUGCAAAGUGGCAUCAAUGAGAAAUUUGUUGAAACCCUUCUGGCCAGUGCAAAAAAGCUCGAAGUUAUUGAUCAAGAAACUAAUAAGUUUAUCACUAUAAAAUUUGAAGAGUUGGAGUGGCUGUUUCGGUGGUAUUCUCUAGGGUUAAUCAUGAGUGCGUUAGUAUUUUGCGGGGAGAUAGUUUUAGCUGGGAUAGUCGAUUCAGAUGCGGAACUAGCAAAUUAAUAUAUUUUGCCACGACAAACGGGUAAUUUUAAAUAACCGGCUGGUUCCGCAUGUCUAUUCUGUGGAUACUAUAGAUUUAGUUUUUGUGAAUGUUCGACAUUGUUGUACGGUUUAAGUUUUGAAGAGCACCAUGUAAAAACUAAUCGCAAAUACACAUACUAUUUUCAUUCUACUCAUUACAUACAAUUCAAGUAACCCUGUUAUAUUGCAUUAGAUAGAUUCGCAUAGUUAAUAUACGUUUUAUGAUAGAGAAAGUUAAAUCUAAUGUCUUGUAGCCUCAUUCUAUUCGGUUCACCCUUAAAGAUCUCAAACUUUUUUGCGUCGUUCAUCUGGAUAUGUUGUGUGGGGAUAGAGAAUACAAAAAAGUAGUAAGAAACCUAUAAAUAAAUUAAAAUAAUUGGAGCAAAGCACGAAUUUAGAGUUUGAAAAUGUCGUCUUUCAAUUUUAUGCUACAGGAAAUUUUAUUGGUGGAAAAAGGUGAUCAAGCGAGAGAGUUAGAACUUCUUAAAACUAUUAUUUGCUUAUAAAAAUUCCUUAAUUCUUUCGGAAGCUCCAGAUCAGGAAAAAUAUGCCCGAUGGUGCUGAGUUCAGCAACAUGGUGUUUCCCUGCUGCUAUUUUCACUUUCUACGUAAACAUGUUCGAUAUUGCUACAGACUUUAAGUUUAGAAGAGCACCAUUUAGGAAUUAACCACAAAAUACUGUAAAAAACAUACCCACUGUUUUUGUUUCUUUUCUUCUUUUUCAUACUCUCCAAGUAACGGCUAUAAGGAAUUGCUCCAUUUUUUAAUAGACCUGUAUUCAAAAGGAUACGGUGCGACCUAAACGUUGACUGACAGUCACGAUUUGUUCAAUGUGAUCUUAAGUUUGGAAAUGUUUACGAUAUUGCUUCAAUUUACUGUAAGAAAAGGGUAAAGUUGAGUUACACUUAGAUAAUAUUAAAUUACUACUUAUAGCUUAAUAUAAAACUUUUUUUGUUUUAUAUUUAAAAUAACUGACCAUAAUCUAACCUAAAUUGGCUCACAGUGCGUCAUAAUUAGUUAACGUCAUAUAAUAUUCGGAUGGGAUCUGUGUCAUGUAUUUCAGCGUACGCCACUGGUAAAAUAGGGUAAAAAUGAAGGGAACAAAAAUAGUGGGAAAUGAUAAGUUUAUAACCUAUAUGUUUAAACGUCUUGUCGCCUAUUAAUUAAAUAUAAGAAAUUUAAUAAUUUGAAUGUAUUGGCAUUGCCAAAAAGAUGAAAAUCCACUGUACUGUUUGCAUAGUAAAUCGGUGCUUGCCGAAUUUACCUGGCAAUCUAAGGAAAAAGCCGUGCAAGUCCACUCUUGCAUUAUGUAAACAUCCAAAUAGUGAAGAGUUUUGUUUUAUCCUGUUCUCUGGUCAGAACAAAAACGGCACCAAAUACCCGUUAAGAAACAAUAUCAAACAAGUCCUAACUCGGUUUGUUGCGGAAGGAAAGUGCACUAUUCAGAUCAAGAAACCAGAACACGAUUUAUGUAUACAAGGGGACCCCAUUCAGGUUAAAGGAUUUCUGCAUCUUGUGAAGCGAGCUUUGGAAGGAAAAGUGUCUCCUAAGGAACUUACAUUUUCCAGUAUGAACGUAAUGCCAGUUAAAGCCAAAGACAUCGCUCCCACAAAGUUGGUCAUUUCUAAAAGGUCUGAUUAUCCUACGAAAGGCUUCCCACGCACAUUGGAAACACUGUAUAUUAUAGACAUUCAACGCUGCAGUUUAGACAAAGGAAUUCUACAUUUGAACAAACUAAAGAUUCUCAAUUUAAGUAAUAAUCGAAUCGAGAACUUACCAGAAGAGCUGAACAAGCUUUCUAACUUAAGGGAGUUGAACAUAUCGCAUAACUUAUUAGGUAGAACGUCAGUUAAACAGUGGCAUUGGAUUGGAGGGUGUCUAUCAAAAAACUUAAACCUACUAGAUUUGAGCUACAACAAUCUUAGUUGUGUGCCAGAUCAACUGGUGAAGCUGUACAGUCUUCACACUCUACAUCUUAGUUAUAAUAACCUUGUGGCAUUACCUGUAGGAAUUGGGAGCUUAAAGCAAUUAAAAAUAUUUUCUGCGUCUAACAAUUCCCUCACCAUUUUACCGGGAAGUAUUAAAAAAUUAAGAUUGCAAAGCAUUGAUAUAUCCGGAAAUAAGUUUGAACAAAGCAUAUCAAAUGCGGCUGGCAUUUUCCCUAAAACGCUGCAAGUUUGCUCAUUAAAGGAAUGUUCAGCUAAGAAAGUGUUAUGGGCAAGAAUUUCAUACCCAAAAGGUUCAAUUCCUCUGACUCUGGCUGACUACUUGGACUAUGCAAAGUAUUGCGUUUGUGGUAAAGCAUGUUUUACUGUCUUUUUUAGACAAACACAUAACUUGCUGCUGGCGAAUAUAUCGGAAACUGUUAACACUAGUGCAAAUGAAGCAGUUCAUGUUCCGAUUGACUGCUACUUUUGCAGCUUGAGAUGCUUCAGUUUAGCAUUCUACAGUAGGAAUCGGAAUCCCAUUGUCAGAUAGGACGCGGUUGAUUUUAGUUAAAAUUGUAUUGUUGAUAUUCUUCAUGUUACAAAAAUGCUGUUUGAUCUUUUAAUUUUAGUUACUACUUGUGAAAAAUAACAAGGACCAAAUUUAGUUUUUAAAAUGGUUUGAAAUCAGUUAUUGCAAGAAUACAACAAUGCUUUUAAUUAAAAUCAUGUUGAAUACAUUUUUUUGAAUACAAUUUUUGCAUUCAGGCAGAAUCAUCAAUGGAAACUGUGUGGGUUUGAUGAGGAUAAAGACCAAUGUUUCACAUUGGCCUACAUUUGUAUUGUAGGUACAUUGAAAGCAAAAAGUCUUUGCUCAAAGUAUGUACAUUUGGAAAAUGAAAAUUAGUUUAUUAUAUUUAUAUUUAUAUAUGCACGGGUUUUACUCCCAAGAUAUGUGCGAGUUGUGCUAAAAUAGGUCAAAUAGUUGUAUACAAUUUCUAUUAAAUCUGCUGGUUCUCUCAUUGUAAAUUUUAAUAUAAGUAUUUUUGAAUUUUUAAAAUCUUUUCGAUCUCAACCUAUAGGUAUUCCCUUCGAAUUAUAUGAGUUUCAGGUUUGAUAAUUUAAGGGAUAUACAAAUACAGUACAAAUGCAAUAAAUAUUAAAAUGGGAAGAAGCUACUACACGAACUAAAUAAUCUUAUAAAAUAGUAAUAGGAUCUAACUGAAUGGUUUUUCUCCUAUCUCAAUUAUUUGUUAAUAAUUAAUAUCGGCUAAUAUUGUCGAAAAUUACUGGUAACGGAAUGCGUGACUUGUCAAAGAUGAUUGGACUUCAAAUCUCAAAAGCAAUGUGAACAUUUUAAUUAAGAAUGAAUAUUUCCGUGUCUCUGUAAUGACCACUAAGGGACUACAUGCGGUAUUAAGAAAUCUUCAUUGGCUUGUUGGCAAAUGGACAUCGAUUUCAGCUGAAGUGAGUUAUCCAACUAUGCAAAAAGUUAUUAAAUUUGACGAAGUUCUGGAGUUUAAGUUCAUGGGCCAACCUCUGUUAACGUAUAGCUCCGUCACUACCAAUCCACAGAACAAGGGCGUGAUGCAUCUUGAAAAUGGGUUUCUCAGAGUGGAUGAAGACCAGUGCACUCUGGCAUUUCUCACAGCUAUGAAUUUUGGACUUGCUUCUCUAGAAGAAGGUUACGUAAAAGGCAAUACAGUCGUUUUAGCCUCGGCAUGUUUAGGAAUUAUGAAAUUUGCUAAACAGAGCAUUUUAGCAAUUCAUCGAUGUUACAGACUCAACGAUAAAGGGGAAUUAGAGUAUACCCUGCUUAUGGAAACACCACAAACUCCUCUAACAUUGCACGUAGAAGCCGUUUAUCGCAAAGAAUGCACUGAGAGCGCAGACAAAAAAAUAUCAAAUGAUGAUAAAAAAAUAACUAGAUAAAGUCAAAAAA